CCUACGGGUGACAGCAGUGGGGAAUAUUGGACAAUGGGGGAAACCCUGAUCCAGCGACGCCGCGUGAGUGAAGAAGUAUCUCGGUACGUAAAGCUCUAUCAGCAGGAAAGAAAAUGACGGUACCUGACUAAGAAGCCCCGUCUAACUACGUGCCAGCAGCCGCGGUUAUACGUAGGGGGCCAGCGUUAUCCGGAUUUACUGGGUGUAAAGGGAGCGUAGACGGCAGCGCAAGUCUGGAGUGAAAUGCCGGGGCUCAACCCCGGAACUGCUCUGGAAACUGGGAAGCUGGAGUGCAGGAGAGGUAAGCGGAAUGCCUGGUGUAGCGGUGAAAUGCGUAGAUAUCAGGAGGAACACCGGCGGCGAAGGCGGCUUACUGGACUGUAACUGACGUUGAGGCUCGAAGGCGUGGGGAGCAAACAGGAUUAGAUACCCGUGUAGUC
rnacentral:rRNA from 1 species